GGGGGCGAACGGCUUCGACGGGGAGAGACGAGGCGUGGACAGCAGGCCGUGCAUCUCAGGUCCACACGUUAAACGGUCCUGGGAAACCGUAGCUGCGAACGACAACUUCGCGCUGGCUGCGUAACAAAACGUAGCCCGGUCCCCUCUCUCCCGUGUCCGCCGGGGGGAGAUGGACCGUCGCCAAAGCGGACUGGUCGCGCGUCGCGCCUUCUGGCGCGCGUCGAGAGCCCGGCUUCGGUCGGGACGAAGGCUCACCCGGAGGCUGGCGUGUCGGCGGCAGGUCGCCCGGGGACAAGAAUCAGCCGACUAAGCCUGUAGCGGUCUUCGUCGCGCUUUUCUCGGACGUGGGUUCGACUCCCACCGCCUCCACCA
rnacentral:tmRNA from 1 species